GAUGAAGCAAAAUAAAUUUCUGCAUUGGACUGUCCAAAAAUAAUCUGUUCCAAUGCCAAAGUGCUUUUUGAGGCUGAGCUCCUGACCCAAUCUCAUUUUCAGUGUCUGCAGACCUCUUUCUGCCUCCCCAUGGUGAUCUAGAUUAGAAAAAUGACUCACUAUGUUUCUUUUCCCUUAGAUUUCCUGGUGAAGGUUUGAUCUGGUAUAUUUCCUAAAUCUGUUUGGAAGAAUGAAGAGGGCUCCCUCCGAAUGUCUCCAAAUCCAAAGGUUUGUCCUUCAGCCUCCAGCCAGCACAAAGGUAGAAAAUGGAAUGGAUCUGACUCCUCUAGCUCAACUCCGAAUGUCUCCAGCCAGCACCAAGGUGAAAAUUGUAAUGAAUCUCACUCCACUUCUGAGAGUGGGUUUCCUCCCAGAGUGCUCUCUGUCCCUAAGAGCUUCUUGCUUAUAUGAGCUCUCUAAAGGUGUGAAUACAAGCAUUGUUGCUAUCAGUUGUACUUAG
rnacentral:lncRNA from 1 species